rnacentral:rRNA from 1 species
UGGGGAAUUUUGGACAAUGGGCGCAAGCCUGAUCCAGCAAUGCCGCGUGCAGGAUGAAGGCCUUCGGGUUGUAAACUGCUUUUGUACGGAACGAAACGGCUCUGUCUAAUACAUGGGGCUAAUGACGGUACCGUAAGAAUAAGCACCGGCUAACUACGUGCCGGCAGCCGCGGUAAUACGUAGGGUGCGAGCGUUAAUCGGAAUUACUGGGCGUAAAGCGUGCGCAGGCAGUUAUAUAAGACAGAUGUGAAAUCCCCGGGCUCAACCUGGGAACUGCAUUUGUGGCUGUAUAGCUAGAGUACGGCAGAGGGGGAUGGAAUUCCGCGUGUAGCAGUGAAAUGCGUAGAUAUGCGGAGGAACACCGAUGGCGAAGGCAAUCCCCUGGGCCCGUACUGACGCUCAUGCACGAAAGCGUGGGGAGCAAACA